rnacentral:tRNA from 1 species
GGUAACCAGAGACGCUAAUGCCACCGACUGAAACUCGGAAGGUCGACGGUUCGAUCCCGUCGCUGGCCACCA